AUACGGAGGGUGCAAGCGUUAAUCGGAAUUACUGGGCGUAAAGCGCGCGUAGGCGGUUUAGUCAGUCAGAUGGGAAAGCCCCGGGCUCAACCUGGGAACUGCAUUUGAUACUGCUGAACUAGAGUAUGGUAGAGGGAAGUGGAAUUCCGGGUGUAGCGGUGAAAUGCGUAGAUAUACGGAGGAACACCAGUGGCGAAGGCGACUUCCUGGACCAAUACUGACGCUGAGGUGCGAAAGCGUGGGUAGCAAACAGGAUUAGAAACCCCAGUAGUCC
rnacentral:rRNA from 1 species